GCCUUCGUGGUGUAAUGGUAACACACUCGACGCGUAUUCGAGAGGCCCAGGUUCGAGUCUAGGCGAGGGCA
rnacentral:tRNA from 1 species